UGCCAGCAGCCGCGGUAAUACAGAGGGUGCGAGCGUUAAUCGGAAUUACUGGGCGUAAAGCGCGCGUAGGCGGGUUAUUAAGUUGAAUGUGAAAUCCCUGGGCUCAACCUAGGCAUUGCAUUCAAAACUGGUAAUCUUGAGUGAAGUAGAGGUGAGUGGAAUUUCCGGAGUAGCGGUGAAAUGCGUAGAUACCGGAAGGAACACCAGUGGCGAAGGCGACUCACUGGGCUUCAACUGACGCUGAGGUGCGAAAGCGUGGGUAGCGAACAGGAUUAGAUA
rnacentral:rRNA from 1 species